UUUUUUAUUUUUACAAUUGUAUUAGAUUUUACUGUUCGUCCGAGCAGAAACUCCAUGUCCUUUGAGAUUCACAAUCUUUUCUAGUGGGUGUACUAAAGCAGUGCUCGGAAUAUAUAUUUUUUGCUUACAACUAGAUGGAUAAAAUCACUGUUCUGACCCUUUUAGCAAUCUGUGUCACAAAUAAGCUCGAUCUGAAAGUAUUUCAUAAUCUGACCCUUUUAGAAACAUCAC
rnacentral:lncRNA from 1 species